ensembl:lncRNA
GAGAUAAGGUAAGAUGGAUAAGAUGCAACUAAGUUACAAAGAGAAGAUAAGUUACAGGGGCUGUCCCAUGAAUAGUUUUAAAUGUUAGAAUCAAAAUUUUUAGUCUAGUACGUAAAUGUAAUGGAAGCCAAUGUAAGUUAAAGUAUCGGGGGCUAUUUCAUAGGUGGAAAAGUGCUGUUUUAUUAUGGGCAUCAACCAUCAAUUACAGAUCAAAAUGAACACCAAGAUCGCACACUUGAGAGGCUGGAGUAACUAAUACAGUCAGUAAUCAAACUGGAACAAUUAAAUGUAUGCAAAGCCAUUGACAUACCAACAAAUAAAAGUUCAGUUGAUUGAUUUAGGCUAUUUAAAACAAGGACAAUUUGAAGUAUGCAGGAUUAUAAUUGUAUAAAUAAUUAAAUAAAUUAAAAAAAUCAUAUAACAAAUGCCCAGGAGUUGAAUAAAUACACAUAUAUUAAUGAAUUAAGUUUAUUAAUGUUGUUGGGUCAUAGUAGUUACGUUUUGUUUUGCAGGUUGCUGCUGACAGUGAAGUGGACAUAGAGCAUAUGGAUGUAAAAUUCUUGCCAACAAAGGAAGUAAGUAAAACCGAAGAUAUAUCACUUUGUUCAGAACAACAAGCAAUCAAAGAUGUUGAGAACCUUCCAUCGGGCCAUGACACAAAUAAGCAGCAGUUCAUGUCUGGAUCUAAAGAGAGGAAUGAAACUGGAUCUGUACUACGAGAAGAUGACAGCAGAUUUACUCGUAGCUCAUCCUGUGAAUCACUAAAGCCUGUCUUUACCAUAGUGCUUGACUCUGAUCUUACCAAACCCAACCAGAUCCCACUGACACAACCUGUCCCAGCUUCUUCAACUAAAUGGGAUACUGUUUCAGUUGUUCAUGAUGGGACUGCAGAGACAUCAGAGGAUGGCUUGAAACUCUUGGAAGUCAGACCAAAUGUUGAUGUAGCCGUACAUGAAGAACAUGCUGUAAUAAGCUCUUCUGAUGAACCUGUACAUUUAUGUGCUGAUCUUUCAUCAUCAGAAGAGCAGUUUAAAGAAAACAGCCACACUGUUAAUAUUGAACCCACUUAUUCUGCUCUAGACCUUGAUUUCAGGCCUAAACCAGAGAAGGACUCAUCUACUCAAGCAUUUGACCCAAUGCUUUUAUACCCAGAAAAGCAUCAAGCAAGCUCUGGAACUGCUAAGAAAGUAUUUACCAUCAUCCUGGAUGUUGAAACUCCUACAUUAUCAUCAGACAGGUAUCAAUCACUGCAAGACACACAAUGUACAGGUCCUGACGACUCAACCACAGAUGAAUUCUCCCAUUCAGAUGUAAAAAGUCAACAGAAGAACCCAUUUGGUACUGAGAAACAUGAAGGCCGAAUGGCUGAACUAGGUCUUUCAGAAAAGUCCAAUGUGAAAUCAAGUAGCUCUGAAAUGCAGCCAGGACAGAAGGAAGCUCCGCUUAUCCAUCCCCAAACCCCUGAGAUCAUGGAGAAUGACAUUCAAAAAGAUGAAAAAGAGAAGCAACAUGAAGUCACUCAAGGCAGUGAGUCAGGGUCUGUUGUUCACCAGCAGGAUGUCCCAAUGUUGGAGAGUCAUGACAACAACACCUUUGAAGAGCCUUCAAAUGAAGCAAACGCACUUCAGAGGCCUCCAAAAGUUGCUAAAGGUAGGAAGAAAAACCGAAAACCAGUUAGUGUAGAAAAAGCAAUCAAUAUCAGUAAUAAAAAGCUGAGCACCUGUAAAUCUGAACAAAAGAACACAGCUCACUCAGAAAGCCUUCAAACUUCUGAGGUCAGGCUGCCGGACACCACAGAUAUGGCCUGUGUCAGCACAAUGACUGUGUCUUCAGACAUCAGUCAACCAAACACUGCAGAGCCAUUGAGUACAGAAGACAAACUAACAGUGGACACUGUGCAGAAAGAGACCUUGAAUCAAACUGAAACAGAGGAUCGACAUUUUGAAAACAUUAGCAUCUCACUUGCCAGAGACGCCCAUAUUAGUACCACAGAUACGGUUUUAGCAGCAGUAGAGACUGUACAGUCAACACAUACAGAGUACUCAGAACUAACGCCAGAAGAUUCUUCAUCUGUUGUGACAGCUGACUGUAUAACACAGUUUUCUACCACAGUCCCAUCAGAGUUACAACUCAGCCAUGCUGAAGCUCAGAGGACUGAGGAUUCAGAUGACAGUUUCCCUUUGCAGUAUGAAAAAAUGCACAGAGCCAAUUCAGAUUCAUCUGCCGGGAGCAAAACGUCCCAAAACAGAGGAUCAGGAGCAGAUGGUGAGGAUCAAACGAGGCAUGCGGAGCAGCCUACUGGGACACGUGUGUGGGCCACUUUACUGAACACCAUCUCUAAUGCUCAGCCACUUCUGAUCACCAAUCACGGUACUGAGGAAUCUAGACCAAGGAAAGAUUCCUUGCUUCAGAAGAGAUCACUUUUAGAGUCUGAUAGCGGUCUGGCAUGGACUGUCCUGUGGGUUUUCAGAUGUCGGUACAGACCGGCCCAACUUAACAUUGUACAUAUGGCUCAUCAGCUGGAAGAAGUUGAGAUCUGCCGGAAAUAUGUCCUGGAGCAGGUGUCUAGAUUGCCUCAACGUGAAUCUAGUGCAGGACGCUCUACAGAGCUUGAGCUGAGCAUAGAGGGCAGAUGGAACAGAGUACUGCUGGAUACCUCAACCAUGGUGGAGUUCAAAAAGGCACAGCUCCAGCUGGUCACACAGUACCACCUGCAAAAACAGGUUCUCACGGAUACUCUACACAACCUGGAGGCUGAGCUCAACACAAUGACACCGGAUUGCAUUGACAGCAGCACCUUACAAGUAGAGAAGCUGAAUGUAUUCCUGAAGAACAUGCAGAAGAAGAAAGGCACACUAGAGGAGCUCCUACAGACAUGCUCUCAGAUUUCAGCCCAUCUGGGUGAGGCAGAGGGACCUGUGGCCUUCAUUGAACCUUUUAGGACUUUACAGGAGAGAUGGCAAACUAUAGAGCGGGUUGCCUCCAGCAGUCUGUGGUGUGCUAACAUCUGCACAGCAGAAGUAUCUGCACUCCUGCAAGAAGCCAGAGAUCUGCACCAUGAACUGGUGCUUCUGGAGAAGUCAGUUUCUCUUCCACAUCCCUCUCAAGGACAGAUGGACUGCCGAAGUGAGCUACAAGAAACUGUCAGAACUGCAGACCUGGCAGCAUUAACAGAGCUCUACUUAUACCUUCUUGAGGUCUCUCAGGCUCUUUCCUCAAGUCCGCUGGGAAAAAAAGAGCUCAGAGAUAUGGAGGACGCAAUGCAGGGCUUGAAUUCUCAGCUUGCGUUGACUCAGGAGAAGCUCAGCUCCCAGACUUCGAAUGGCAAUGGCUGUUCACCGAUCUCGAGGAUUAUCAAGGACUACGUUACAUGGGCUAAACAAACAGAAAGCAAAGUCAGCAGGAGUAGGAGGUUGGCUCUGUUUCCUGAAGAGGCAAGUCACCAGGUCAACCACAUGAAGAAACUGCAGUCUGAAACAUCUCUUAAGAAGAUUCAGUUGGCCUCUGUAUUGAAAGAGCUAAGAGAGGAAGUUACAGGACUCGACAAGGAGGAUUCAAUGUCUCCCAUCCUUGCUUCCCUAGAGGAUUUGUACGUUAAGAUUACAGAGAAGACCGAAUGUGCUGUUGCAGAAAUGAACAGAAUGUUUCAAAUAAGAGAGAGACUGUGGAAACAGAUCACUGACAGCAGCUCUUGGUUAACCUCAGUAUUAGAAAAAGGGUCUGGUAAAACAGUGGCUUCUAAACCUAAAACUACAAUCCCAGAAUUGAGGGUUCAGCUUCAGGUAUGCACAGAGGCUUUGAAGGAAGCCGAGAGACAAGCAAAUAACUUAGAGACUCUGUUAGAUGAAAUAAAAAAUGUGAAUCACGGUCUGAGUGUACCCGAAAGCUUUCAGCUUAUGAAUAGGCUAACAGCCUUACAAGAAGAGGUCUCUAGGGUUGUGAACCGUAAGUGGGCCUUGCACUGGGUGCUUGAAGAACUCCUUCAUGCUCAGGAAUCUUCUGCUGAGGAGCAAAACGUCAUUCUGAAGAGCUUGAGACAGAUGAGUGCUGAUGUCAUGAGGCAGAAGUAUCCCGUAACAAGGGACUCACUCUUGGCUCUUGAACCUGUUCAGCACAUCCUGAUGGAGCUCCUGUGCAAGGUGCCAGAAAUUCCACACUGCCCGGAUUCUCGGAGGAAAGAGAUGCUCAACGCUGUACUAGACCUACAGAGGAGAAUGGAUCUGCUGGAGUUGCAAGCGAAAGAUCAUGAGGAGUACCUCAUUUUAAGGCAGUACAUGGAGAACUCCAGAGAGGUGGUGAAGAAGAGCUGGUCGCAGAUUGUAGACUCAAGUGUAGGAGCUAACAUAAGGCUCGGCUAUUGUCAGGCUGUCUUAGUGGAGCUAGCUCUGGUGAGAAUGACAUGUCAAGAAGCCACUGACCACCUUGAGGCUAUUUCGAAAGAUCUCUAUCCAUCUCAGCUGACAGCAGAAAGGCAAAAAAUCCAUUUGGUCAUUGAGCAGCUCUCCUCUUGGGAGCUCACAGUAAAAAAUGAGGCUAAAACCCUUGAGUGCUCUCUGGCGGAGCGACUCGGCAGUCCUGCAGACCUCAGUCCAUUCACUGAGCUCUUCAUCAGUGUCAGGCAGCAGCUGAAGCAGAGCAUCUCCUUGGAGCCAGAUAAUGAGACCACUGAUGCAGAGCUACGCAAGCACUGGAUGCGAAUCCAGACCACUGAGUCUGUUCUACGAAUGCUGGAGCACUGCAGGAAAGCAGUAGAUGCUGAAAGCUACCAGAUGACCAUUGGUCUUGGCCAGAAAACUCUUAAUGAUUACGGUAUGCAUAUGGACAAGCUGCUCCAAGCUCGGGAGGCACUGAAGCGUUACCACUCGGCUGUUCAGGGUGCAGAGAUCUUCUUUCAGCAGAUAAGAUCCAAUCUCAUGAUCCCCUCUGAUGGCUUCAAAGGCUACAAAGAGGAGCAUCGCUAUAUUCAACAGAUUUUCAGCACUCUGGUUGAGGGUUUCCAGACCCGCUUGUCUGAAGUUGGUGCUUCUGUUCCCCAGCAGACAUGCCUCUCCAUCCCUUUAACUGAGCAGCUUCAUAUAAAGGUUUUGUGUCACCUUCUAGUACAAGAUGCCAAAUUAGAAGCUCAGGCUCAGCUCAGACUUGAGGCCUUACAGAGGUUGGUCAUACUCUAUAAAGCACACUAUGGGAUGUUUUUCUAUAAAAACUUAAUGACCUUGUCCUAUGAUUCAGAUUGUUGCUUUCACAAUUCCCUCCGAUUGUUGUUGACAUUUUCAUAUCUAAUUGGAAGAUGAUUUUAUAAUUGUAAAUAGUGGG